UUUCUGAAACUCUGAAGUAGUAAGAUGGGGAGUACAGGCUGGAAAAGGAUAUGAUCAUUCAAGAUGGAAAAGGCACCAGUGAAGUGAUAGCAAUUUGUAAUGUCCUUUAGGAUGAAUGUGGAGCCCUUGACAGACUGGUCAGAAAUUUAAAGAAACUACUACCAAGGCAACCUGUCUACCUGAGGGAGGAACAGAAGAAUGUAGGAAGUGAAGACAAUGCAUUUUGAGGCAGUGCAGAGUGCAGAGUAAAGGAGAUUCCCUAAUCUCAGGUGUCACAAGAGCAUUGCCUCACAUUACCCUGCAUUGCCUCCACAGCAACCAUAGACAAGAGAGGAAAUGGUCACAUAAGGAAGAGUUUCUCUUCUGGAAUGACAGCUAGGAUUCUCCCCCAGCUCUCACAUUCAACAAUGCUGUGUCUGCAGGGACUUGAUAUAAUUCCCAAGACCUGUGAUACUGGUUUUGAUCAUAAAGAAAUUGCAAUGUGACACCAGAGAUAUGACUGCAUCAUCAUAUGAUAUGGGAUCUUCUGCAAAAUGGAUCUUUUCUGAUACAGAACUUCAAACUCUGAGAAAAACAUUUAUAUAUCCACAGUUCCAGAUCCGAGUAUGGUUUUAUUUGCCCAAGCCUACCUGAAUCCACACUCAAACAUGAAGAGCAUAACUCUACAACUGAUUAAAAGAAAUCUGAAUUUAUAUAAAAAACAAAGCAGUUAUCUUUUUUCUUUCUCAGAAUAUUUUCCUGAAUAUUUGUCCUACUUCAGAGUAACAACCAGAGAAUUCUGAAUCUUAGCAUCUUAUGCACAACUAAAAAGAACUGCAAAAGCAUUCAGGUAUAACUCUCUGGAGGAUGGAGAGGUUAUUUUCUGGUUUUCAUGAUCAAGAUACCAAAAAAAAUCCCCAAGAAGAUUAUUCAUUCUGGUUCCAAGACCUGAUUUCUUUCCAAUGCAGUUCAGUGAGGGAUUUAAGCUUAUUUCUCACAGUGAUGUACUUCCUUUGCCAGUGCUGAUUAACAUUGAUUCUGACCCCAGUUCAUCUCAGUUAUAUAAAAAUAUGGCCUUGCUGAGAGGCAAUUUUUAGCGCUUCUCAUGCAGAAGAUCAUUGCUUUCUGCAUGGAGAAGAUGCAAAGAGUGAGGAAUGGAAGAGAUCUCAUCGCAUGGUUUUUAAAGUUCUGUUAUACUUAGGACUGAAUAAAUCACUAGUUUCCCCUAAAAAAAACCCCAAAAUUGUUUUCUUAAUGUCUAAACUUAACCUCUGACAUACAGAAUUAAUAAAACAUUCCUGUAACCAAUCACCCAACACAAAAUCCAAAAAGUUUCUGAUCUCCAAGUCAGGUUAACCUUAAAAAAAAAAACCUACGGAAUUUUUUUUAAAUAAUUGAAUUCUGACUUACAACAAUAAUAUGUACAAUAGCUGCUACUAAAAUAUUAUCAUUUAACCUGUCAUAUAAAUAAUUGUAUGGUGAUGUAACUCUAUUCCCUAGAGAAUAUUUGAUCUUCAACCUUCAGCAGGUUAGUCUAGGUAUCACUCAGAUUUAACUUAGGCUUUAAUUUGGGAGUUCAUUGAAUGCCUAUGGCUCAAUUUAGCCCUCUCUGCAGGUGAUUCUCACUCAAACAGUGGUUAUGUCUGACAUUUGUCUUGCUAAUGCCAGUAAUGUUGGAAACUGAAAUAAGAAUGCACUUAUGGAACAGAUAAUAUACGAUUAGACCAUUAUGUCAGAGUUGAUUUCUUGAAUGUUUUUACCACAUGGUAUUUGUUAUUUCCUUUAUUAGUGGUCAAAUGUUUACUAAAGUUUUCAGAUGUUACUACCAGUGAACAAAUGCCCACUUUAUCCUAUAUACUUCUGAUUCAGCUAAAAAUCUCGGUUUUACCUCCUUUUGCUAAAUAUAAGGGUAUCAUGUGUAUACACCAUUCCGUUUUUCUUUCAUAUUUUUUUGGAAGCAGGUACAUGUUUUGUAGUAUCUGAUGUCUCUU